rnacentral:rRNA from 1 species
AUGGGCAAGAUGACUAAGACUCCGUUCUUCGGAACAAUGGAGCGAGCAACAGAUUUGUUGGAAAUCAUACAUACUGAUGUAUGUGGUCCGAUGAAUAUUGAGGCUCGCGACAGGUAUCAUUAUUUUCUGAUCUUCACAGAUGAUUUGAGCAGAUAUGAGUAUAUCUACUUGAUGAAACAUAAGUCUAAAACAUUUGAAAAGUUCAAAGAAUUUCAGAGUGAAGUGAAAAAUCAUCGUAACAAGAAAAUAGAGUUUCUACGAUCUGAUCGUAGAGAAGAGUAUUUGAGUUACGAGUUUGGCCUUCAGUUAAAAACAAUGUGA